AAAAAAAUGAAUAGAAUCUGAAUCAUGUGUGUGAAAACUAGAUGGACAAAAGAAAUAAUAAUAUUAUUACCAGAUAUAGAUGCUUUCCCAAUUCAAGCAAACAUAUAUGCUCCAAGUGCUCGAAUUGAAGGAGAUCUUCUUAACAAAUGAUUGCUUUGCCAUUUACGCCUUACCAACAACGUUUGAUUGUAGUUACUUCCAAAGCUGCACUCACAUUCUCUCUGCAACUCAUACAGCUACACAGGCAAGUCCAAGAAGAUCUCGAACUUUUCUGGUUCUUAGAAGAGACCCAUUUGUUUUUGGCCAAUUGGGUGUCCUUCUUUUGGUUGUUCUGGAUUGAUUCUUGCAAGAACUGAAUCUUGGUUUUCCAGUUCAGGCUUUGAUUUUGUUACCACGAUUGUUUAAUAGCCGAAAAUCCCCGAAGAUUCUGGCUGGAAAAGUAGCUCAAGUUUGAUUCUCGUAGAUGAUUAGAAUUGGCUUUUUUUUUUUUAAUGGAUGAAAAAGGCUGCUGAUUAUCUAGGAAAUGAGUCGAUCACCGUCAUUUGCUGUUAAACAGGAGCUUAGUCUAAAGACUGAUUUGGAAUCUUUGCAGCAAUGGGUUGUUGCCUUUUGCAUUAUUAGAUUUGAUCUUGAACAAGGCCAGCUUAUUGAAGAGUGUUAUCCACCUGGUUCACUUUCGAAUGAAGAGGAACUUGAUGUUGCUUUUAGUUCAUUUCCGGAUUCUGUUUCCCAGAACCAGAACCGUUCAAGCAUUCAUGAUUGCAUAUUCUUUUUCCGCAUCCAAAGGCGGAAGAGUUCUGAACAAAGAAAUGUGAAUUCAUCAGAGACAGUAGAAAUUGAUGAUAAAGAAGUAUCUUCAAAUUCCAUGAAAGAGAAGGUGAUUAAUAGAAGAAAAAUUAGAAAUGAUACCAAACAAUUGAAAUACUUGUAUGGCUAUGUAUUUAACAGGCAACGGCAUGAUGAGAAGCUAAGAAGAGGCGGAGAACAAAAAUCUGUGGUGAUAUUAUCACACAAUCCUUACUCCAGUGUGUUUAGGCCUUUGUUACAAAUCAUGGGUCCUUUAUAUUUUGAUAUAGGAAAGAAAGCUCUUGAGCAUAUUGCUGCUUAUGUUUCAAUGUGGCCUGCUCCUGCACCUGGUAAACACAUGGAACUUCGAAUUGGGAAUGCCUUGCUUAAAGUUAGCUUGCCACCUGCUCAUAGUCUGUCUUUUGAAAUUGGGAUGUUUGAAGAAUCUGCUUCUGGCAUGGCACCUUUUCUUCCAAAUAAUCAGUCAAUUCCACAGGGUCUGUUUCAUGAUUCAGAUAUAUUUGGUACAUUCCGGAGCAUUUUGUUGCAGCUCUGGUUGUUAUGGGAACUGUUACUUAUUGGUGAACCCGUUCUAAUCAUAGGACCAACACCUCCCCAGUGUUGUGAGGCAGUUGCUAGUCUAGUCAGUUUGGUUGCUCCAUUGCCAUGCAGUAUUGAUUUUAGGCCAUACUUCACUAUCCAUGAUCCUGAUUUUAAGCAUUUAAAUUCACUUCGAGAAGGAGACACUUUCCCUCCUAUGAUUUUGGGUGUGACGAAUCUAUUUUUCCUUAAAGCUCUUCGUAAUAUUCCCCACAUUGUUUCAGUUGGCAGCCCUGCUCUUAAUUCAAAUCAGGUUCCCUUUGCAAGUAGGUCUGCUGGCAGGAUUCAUGGAAGACUAGAAGGAUUUGGUCUUCAGCAGCUUUCCUUGAAGAAGUUUUUUCCUUCAAGUUUGUUGAGUGCUGUUAAGUUAAGGAGAGAUGGUCCUCUUUGCCUCAUGACAGAACAUAAGGAAGCUGUUUGGAGCACCUAUGUCGCAACAACUAAGCCUGACACCUCUAUCUUGAAUAGGCUUAUUGAUGCUGGGAUGUUACCAAGGGUUGAGGAGUCAAUGUCAGUUGUUAACAAUGAAAUAUUGCGCCGUCAUUUCUUAGAGCUCACCACCAACUUUUUGGCUCCUUUUGGCCCUUAUUUUAGGGCCACAACUCCUUCUGAAGGAUCUCUUCCAUUCAUGGACCCUCCCCCUCUUCCUCCAUUUGAUGCUGAUGAAUUUUUGGCAAACUUAUCAGCAAGAGGUGUGGGGAAGUUUCUGUCGAAGCGGAUGAAGUCUAACUGGCUGGAUUUAUACAAGAGGUUCCUGAAAGGGCCAAACUUCAUGCCAUGGUUUCAAAGAAGGCUCGCAGUUGCUGAACAAGAACAACAUAGACUCUGGAGGCAGGCAAGAAUGAAAGCUGACAUAAAGCUGCUCAUAUCGAAAAUGCCAGAAUUGGAAAUUGUUGAUUAUUUCAAUGCUAUUGAAAGACAUCUCCAGGGAGAAAUUCAGAUGGAGAAGUUAGGAAGGGCUGCUGUUGACUUUACAGAAACUUGCCAGAAAUUGAAGAAAGAUCUGCAGGCAGUGUUCGAUGUCCUUCCUAAAGACAUGCAGCAGCUUUUGCUUAUGAACCCUGAAAGAGCAGCUCUUUUACAACCAAGUUCGGAGCCAACAAAACUUCCUGGCCGCCCAUCCUUACAAAUUGGAGUUGUAUCUUCCACAUCAUCCAGAUAAAUUGCAAAGCAUGGAUCAGGAUUUAGGGCUUUGUUAUAUGUUGUCUUCUCAGGCUGCUGAAGACCUGCACAGCAUGUAAAUAUGUUGUAGUGUCCUUGAGUCACUGGAUUGGGGGUAUUUUCUCCCACCUAGGACAUAUUUCUUCUUCUUGAUGUGUGUCACAGCUGUCGUUUCCUCCCCAUUUUAACUCAAUUCUUUUGCAAUCCUACAUGUUUGAUUGUUCAAACCUACGGGGGAGAUCAGUCCUUGAAGUGUAUAUUUCUUGAAGCUAAGCGGUGGUUGGUUAUACGUUA